CGGGUGCGUAACGCGUAUGCAAUCUACCUUUUACAGAGGGAUAGCCCAGAGAAAUUUGGAUUAAUACCUCAUAGUAUUACGAAAUGGCAUCAUUUUGUAAUUAAAGUCACAACGGUAAAAGAUGAGCAUGCGUCCCAUUAGCUAGUUGGUAAGGUAACGGCUUACCAAGGCUACGAUGGGUAGGGGUCCUGAGAGGGAGAUCCCCCACACUGGUACUGAGACACGGACCAGACUCCUACGGGAGGCAGCAGUGAGGAAUAUUGGACAAUGGGCGCAAGCCUGAUCCAGCCAUGCCGCGUGCAGGAUGACGGUCCUAUGGAUUGUAAACUGCUUUUAUACGAGAAGAAACACUCCGACGUGUCGGAGCUUGACGGUAUCGUAAGAAUAAGGAUCGGCUAACUCCGUGCCAGCAGCCGCGGUAAUACGGAGGAUCCAAGCGUUAUCCGGAAUCAUUGGGUUUAAAGGGUCCGUAGGCGGUUUAAUAAGUCAGUGGUGAAAGCCCAUCGCUCAACGGUGGAACGGCCAUUGAUACUGUUAAACUUGAAUUAUUAGGAAGUAACUAGAAUAUGUAGUGUAGCGGUGAAAUGCUUAGAGAUUACAUGGAAUACCAAUUGCGAAGGCAGGUUACUACUAAUGGAUUGACGCUGAUGGACGAAAGCGUGGGUAGCGAACAGGAUUAGAUACCCUGGUAGUCCACGCCGUAAACGAUGGAUACUAGCUGUUGGAAGCAAUUUCAGUGGCUAAGCGAAAGUGAUAAGUAUCCCACCUGGGGAGUACGUUCGCAAGAAUGAAACUCAAAGGAAUUGACGGGGGCCCGCACAAGCGGUGGAGCAUGUGGUUUAAUUCGAUGAUACGCGAGGAACCUUACCAAG
rnacentral:rRNA from 1 species